AUAUUGCACAAUGGGGGAAACCCUGAUGCAGCGACGCCGCGUGAGUGAAGAAGCGUUUCGGCGCGUAAAGCUCUGUCAGCGGGGAAGAAACACGGUUCGCGAGAGCCGCGGACGGUACCCGCCCAAGACGCUCCGGCUCAAUACGUGCCAGCACCCGCGGUAAUACGUAUGGAGCAAGCGUUAUCCGGAUUUACUGGGUGUAAAGGGAGCGUAGGCGGCCUGGCAAGUCUGGUGUGAAAUACCGGGGCCCAACCCCGGGACUGCAUUGGAAACUGCCAGGCUGGAGUGUCGGAGGGGCAGGCGGAAUUCCUAGUGUAGCGGUGAAAUGCGUAGAUAUUAGGAGGAACACCGGUGGCGAAGGCGGCCUGCUGGACGACAACUGACGCUGAGGCUCGAAAGCGUGGGGAGCAAACAGG
rnacentral:rRNA from 1 species